AAGAAAGUGGCAGAGUGGUUAUGUAGUUGGCUUGAAACUAACUUACAGGGGUUCAAUUCCCUUCUUUCUCG
rnacentral:tRNA from 1 species